AAAAAUGUCACUGGGAAACUGAAUUUAUAUAAGAAAACUCACUUAAAGCCUCUUUAUAGAAAGGUUUGCUCGCCCAACUGUAUAUAUAUUGUGUGCAUAGAUAGAUCAGAAGAGGUUUAAUUUUUCUGGAUUGCCAAUGUUGUGUUGAUAUUCCAUUUAGUUAAUGUGGCUUAUUUGCAGAGAUAUAUUGCUGCUAAAAUUGUGCCUACCUUUUGGAUGGUGGCAAUGAUUGGUGACAAGACAAUUCGUAAGCUGGUGUGCAAUUCUUCAGCCAAAUUUUUGUAUGUGCUUUUUAUGUUGCUAAUCAAUUGUAGACACUUGAUCGAUCAUCAUCUUGUCUGUUUCUUUUUAAUAGAUUGCAAACAG
rnacentral:lncRNA from 1 species